GUGGGGAAUCUUCCGCAAUGGACGAAAGUCUGACGGAGCAACGCCGCGUGAGUGAAGAAGGUUUUCGGAUCGUAAAGCUCUUUCGUUAGGGACGAACGUGCUCUUUGUGAAUAAUGAGGAGUAAUGACGGUACCUAAAUAAGAAGCCACGGCUAACUACGUGCCAGCAGCCGCGGUAAUACGUAGGUGGCAAGCGUUGUCCGGAAUUAUUGGGCGUAAAGCGCGCGCAGGCGGGAUAUCAAGUCUGUCGUAAAAGUGCGAGGCUCAACCUCGUGAGGGGACAGAAACUGGUAUUCUUGAGUGUCGGAGAGGAAAGUGGAAUUCCAAGUGUAGCGGUGAAAUGCGUAGAGAUUUGGAAGAACACCAGUGGCGAAGGCGACUUUCUGGACGAUGUCUGACGCUGAGGCGCGAAAGCUAGGGGAGCGAACGGGAUUAGAUACCCGUGUAGUCC
rnacentral:rRNA from 1 species